rnacentral:lncRNA from 1 species
CAGAGGCAGCUGCUGAUAAGCUGCCCCAGUUUAACCUUCACAGACACAAAGGCCGUGGAUGUGGCCCUUGGUUUUCGCCUCCCUGCUGAAAACAACAACAAACCUCGAAACACCACCACUCGGCUUCUUUGGUUCCUGCUUCCCUACCCUCCUAUGGAGUCUCUGAUUUCUAGCCAUCCAUCUUACCCUGCAGAUGGUCGCAGUACACAAGGGAAAUUUACAUGGAACAGCGGUGAGCAAAAAGACAGAAAUGCUCUCCUUUUCCUGGGCCAGGCUCUGGCAAUGAUGCCAGACUCUAUGGGACAACAGGUCACCAAGGCAACCCUGCCCAGUGGAUUUGGCCAACGUUUUGGACCGUGUAAAUAACACCUCUAUUCAUGUCCAGCUGCUGGUGACCCGGAAGAGGCAGCAGACGCUGUGGAGGCUUUGCCAGCCUCCCUGCCUGGAUCAUGAGACCCUGAGCAAUACACUUGUCUUUCUGAGUCUCUGCUUCCUCCUCACAAGGCAGGGUGCUAAGAUCUACCUCCCAAGGAGCUGGUGUGCAUUGUGGAAAUCAGAUACAGUGCCGAGCACCACGCCUGGAACUGUGGUCAUGGCACUGUGACCACCAUCGUCAUUAGCGUUUUGGAGGGAGGCCACGCAGUUCUGUGGCUGCUUGUGUCUCUGAACUUGCUCACUCAUGUGGCUCCUUAAAGAGUGGUUUGUGGUGGUUUCUUCCUCAGAUGAGAACAGCACCGGGUCCCGGGUUUCUAUUUGCCUUGCAUCUCCCAAAAGUGCUGACUUACUCAACCAAGUACACCCAGGCCCCGGGGCUGACCAGGGAAGUGAUUCAGGGUGUGGCACAGGGGUGGGCAGGAGCACCCACCUGCUUGAGCCCCACAACACCAUUGGGUGCGGCUGCCCAAGGACCCCCAACACUCAUCCACACUUUUGGCCCUUUAGAGACCCAAGGCUUAGACUGCUCCAAGAAGGGAGGCUGCACCCUCAGCUGGAGAGAGGAUUCAAAUGGUAGCUAGCAAGACUCCAGAGAUGUACAAGCAGCUGGGGGCCACCAGAUACAGCAGGCAACCGGGCCCUUUAAGUGUGGCUAGUCCAGAUUGGCAUGUCCUGAGAGUGUAAAAUCCACACUGGAUUUCAAAGACUUUGUACCAAAAUUUAUAUAUGUAUUUUUAUAUAUAAUAAUAUCUUAGAUAUUAGAUAUAUAUCAGAUAUAUAGAUAACAUAAUAUAUAUUAGAUAUAUGUAUAUCUAAUAUAUCUAACAUAAUAGAUAAUAUAUACAUUAGAAUCUGUUUCUUUUCACUUUAAAAAUAUGGCUACCAGAAGCUUUGAAAUGACACGUGGCUGGUAUUUACAGCUCACGUUGUGUUUCUAUAGGGUAGUGCCACUCAACAGACUGUCCAAUAUAUAUGACUUGUUUUAGGGGCCUGGUCCUGGGAGGCCAGGGUCCUCCUCUUUCCUUGAUCCCAGGAGAUCCUGCAGGGUCCUCGCCACCUAGCCCCCUUGGCCUUGGUGCACAUACAACAAAAUCCAGAACCCUGGAAGGCUCCUGUGCUCCCCUGCAUCUUUGGAUCUGCACACCCAGCCCUGUGCACACAGUCCCUCAAGCACAUAUAGCUCUUUUAUGAAACUUGGGAACAGGACUUCCUGAUUCAAGGUACUUUCCUGGUGUCCUCCAGAAAAUCAACACAAUAAACAUGCAAAUCUAUGACAGCUACCGUGGGAAUAAUGUCUCGGAUACAGCACCCUUGUCCAGUAUGCAGCUUGCACAGCCGUAUGUGGCAGCCCUGCCAGUAUCUAGCUGCUCAAUAUUAGUUGGAGAGAUAAUUAAGGAAGAAAUAAUAGGGACUCCCACCCCCAUGAUGUUUCUGGGCUGAGGCUGCACCUCUUGUCCAAUGAAAAUGACAGUUUUUUUCAAGCAAGAGGCCACUUCUCAGGACUGUGGCCCUAGCCUCACUCACUGCCCACACGUGAAAACCACGUCAACGUAGCAGCACACCUCCAACAUUCAGAAAGUUCAUACAGCUACGGGCAGAAGGUAAACACCUACUGAUGCUUCAAGCCCAGCCUAGGACCCUCUGCGAAGAAUCUCCGUCUCUGCACUGCUGAUGUCACAGAACAGCCCAGGGAGGGGUCGCUGGGCUAGUCUAACCUGAGCUGUUACCGUCUUGGUUGAGGGACCAUUGCUUUGUUGGAGGAUGGGUGCCGAUACAGACUGGUGCAGUGUGCUGGCAUGCUUUUAUCAGAGAGUGCUGAUACACAUCUGCUUAGAAUGAUUAAAGUUUCUCAUCUCGUCUGACUCAUAGGGCAGCAUCCACAGAAAAGCAGAGGAUGAGAUAAGCCGGGAGGGCUGGGAGUGUCCGACUUUCACAGCUCUGUUUUCACCUCACAAUGUCCUGUUUGCUCUCAGUGAGUUUGUUGGUUGGUUAUAUAAACAUGUAGAUAUUUACUCAUCUGUGGCAGGGUGAGUUUAACCCUUUUCUUCCUUAGCUUCUCACAUAUAGCUUUUAUUUGUGUUUCAUUCAUGUUUAGCGUUGAUGAUUUCUCUCAUUUGACACUUUUCCAUUACAUGGAAAUUUCAGUCCCCAGAAAAAAUGUAAAAGAGGGUGUUUUGCUUGUUUGUGAAUUCAUCUUUCUUUUCUUUUAAAAGCAUUUUCUAUUUUCCCACAUAUGAGUUUGAUUGCAACUAGAGAGCAACAGGAAGUGAGUGAGGGGCCAAGCUGAGAGCAUCAAAACAAUUCUCAGCCCCGUUUUCCAGAGCUCCUUGCAGUUCCUUUAACCAAAUGGAUGCUUUGCGGAGAGUUAGGUUAUUUAGUACAGUAAACAAUUUUUUUCUUUUCCUUUCAGCCACUUAAUGUGGUAUCAUGAAAGGAAGAUCAACUUCUUAAUGAAAAAAAGCUGUGAUGGAAGAGGAGGCUAUAGCACAUCAGGAGCGCUUCCAGGCUUACAUAAGUAACAUUCCUGCUGCAUAAACAUCUUGGCAAAUCCGGAGACUAAAUCCCAUCCCACACCGCUGGCCUGAACCAAACACUGUAUAAUGUUUUAAAAAAGAAAAAGAAUCCCGUUGAUGGUAACAGUUUUCUUUCCAGAAACAAGUCAUUAGUUUGGACAAAAAAAUCCAAUUGCAUCUGCUGAGCUCCCCAAAGUUCUAGUGGAAAUUAUUAUCUAGAGAAAAAGCAAGUGAGGAGUAAGAGUGGAGGAUUGUGAUCUCUUAAGAGUAAAACAGAAACGGCACUUAAACCCCAUGAUGUGCCUUUCAGCGCAAAAUUGCAAACCCCAAAUAAUUAAACUAUCCUAAUUUGGCAAAUGUCAACAAGAGAGUUCAAAAAUAAUCAUCAUAAUUUUAAUGCAUUAUUAACUCUACUAGAGAUUUUAAACAAAAUUAAACAUUGAUCUAUUUACUUAACUCCUGAAAUGACAUGAAGUUGAAGCAUACAGGCCGGGUGUGGCAGCUCAUGGCCAUAAUCCCAGCAUUUGGGAGGCCUUGGUGGGCGGGUCACCUGAGGUCAAGAG